ACACAGGGAAGGAGGUGGUCCGACAAAUUGAGUGACUUAUGGACAUGUGAGGUGGCUGCCCGCUAGCAGCACCGGGGAAGUCGAGCACCGACCUGUCGUGCGCUGGCGAAUUCCCCGCAGUCACCCGGCCCCCGAGCCCCUCGGUCCGUCCAACCAGGAACCAACGGCUCGGGGGUCGCCCAUA
rnacentral:sRNA from 2 species